UACGGGGGGGGCAAGCGUUGUUCGGAAUUACUGGGCGUAAAGGGCUCGUAGGCGGCCAACUAAGUCGGACGUGAAAUCCCUCGGCUUAACCGGGGAACUGCGUCCGAUACUGGAUGGCUUGAGUUCGGGAGAGGGAUGCGGAAUUCCAGGUGUAGCGGUGAAAUGCGUAGAUAUCUGGAGGAACACCGGUGGCGAAGGCGGCAUCCUGGACCGAUACUGACGCUGAUGAGCGAAAGCCAGGGGAGCAACGGG
rnacentral:rRNA from 1 species